AAAUCAAUUUCUUUUAGAAAAAUUCCGUCAAAGCAGGAAGUUCAAUAAUAAAUGUCUUCAACUAUUUAAAGGGAAGAAAAAUUCUGAAAAUUAAGAACAGCUUGUGAUUUCUUCAACAACAACAAAAGAUUGUCUAGUUCCUUAUAGUCUUGUGCUCCUAGUCUGACCUAAGUACUGUGAGCAUGUAUGGAGUGAGAUUAUGGAAUGGCAAAUAUUUCACAAGAGAAAACACACAAGCGUAUUUCUUUGGGGCAAGGGACAUAGCUAAGUAAUUAUCUGUCACACGUCCAGAAGUUCUCAAUGUACUUUUAUUUUUAAAAAUCAUGAUUUUGUGUGAUAGCUUACGAUUAGGAUGCUGUGCUUGAACAUUUUCCUGCCUGUUGGAGGCAGUGCAGGGGCAGCCCAGCAGAGCUGGGUGCAUGCGGGACUCGGGCACUCUGCAAGGCUCAGGAGGAUCCUCAGCAGGAGCCGGGUGGUGUCUGUGUGUUGCAAAAGCCACCUCUGGCCCAAAGCAUGGCCUGACCCUGUUCUUGGGACAGCCCUGUGGGAGGGGUGCAUAAACAAACAAGUGCAGGAAGCAGCCAGCCUGGUGCUGGGGAAACUCGAGGGUUUGUUAUGGCUGCAUGCUCAGCACCUGCUGAAACUCCUGGUUUGCUCACCUGAGGAGUACGAGCAGGACAUGGGCUGGUUUGUGCUCCCUGGGCAAUGAGACUGUGUCUCUCCCGAGCCAUUGGAGUGGCCACCAUAUCUGGUGUUGCUGUCAGCUUGCCUUCAAUUGUUUUUAAAAGGAAUUUUUUUAAAGAUCCACCUUUUCCUCUCACUGAUUACCACUAUAUCCUGGUAUCAGGAUCUUCCAACUCCCAGUUGUUUCUCCUUCUCUCAGGCUGAAUGGUAAAAUGAGCAGAUGUGCUGCAAAAGAGCUAUCUGCCUUUUAUAAUCUGUAAAUUGCCUUCUGGGUACAAAGUUGGAGUAUAUGGAUUUAAGCUUAUAAGUGCAACUGAACAGUCAUUUGUAACGGGUAUAACAUGAGGUGAAGAGAAGCAUUUAAAGUUUAGAGCGACCUUCAGUAGAGAAGAAAAUUAUCUGGUGACUGCUAUUGUUGAUCUUGGAAUGUGUUUCAGAUGUUAGGUGUGGACUUUAUAUCACCCUUGGGGCACUUAAUAACAACUAAACGAGCAUUAACUGCUGAAGUCAGUGAAGUUUUAUCAGUGCGAAUCCAGGGGCAUUGUUGUCUUUGUCUUGUCACAAAAUAAGUUCAAAAUAAUGGUGCAGAACAAGGAGUGGAAGAGAAAUGUUCUGAGGUCUGAUUCUCCAGCCAUUCCAUCCUGUUACACCAGCACAUUUGUGACCAAGACAAUCAUGAACUAAACUUGUCCUCUCGGACUAGGAAAAAUGUAAUGCAAAAUAUUUCAAUUUAAUAGACAUUUCUUUGUAGUGAAAAUACAAUUAAAAGAGGUUGAGAACUUUUACAAGGGGGUGCUAAUCCUGGUAUUUUUGUCUAACUAGGCUUUCAGCAACCUGUGCACUCUCUAUUCGUGGAGCUCAUCAUACCUGGCUUAGUUUCAUAA